GAAACUGCUGUGAGAGCGUGGUGGUAGUACGAGGGAGGCGAGCGUUUGUCGGAAUCACUGGGCUUAAGGCGUGCGUAGUUGGUUGGGGAAGUAAGGAGUGAAAUGCCAGGGCUUAACCCUGUAACUGCGCUUUAGACUGCCUGUCUGGAAUGCGGAAGAGGUUGGUGGAACUCCCAGUGUAGAGGUGAAAUUCGCAGAUAUUGGGAAGAACACCGGUGGCUAAGGCGACCAACUGGUCCGACAUUGACACUGAGGCACGAAAGCGUGGGUAGCAAACAGGAUUAGAUACCCGUGUAGUC
rnacentral:rRNA from 1 species